rnacentral:rRNA from 1 species
AGUGAACGCUGGCGGUAGGCCUAACACAUGCAAGUCGAACGGCAGCACAGUAAGAGCUUGCUCUUACGGGUGGCGAGUGGCGGACGGGUGAGGAAUACAUCGGAAUCUACUUUUUCGUGGGGGAUAACGUAGGGAAACUUACGCUAAUACCGCAUACGACCUACGGGUGAAAGCAGGGGAUCUUCGGACCUUGCGCGAUUGAAUGAGCCGAUGUCGGAUUAGCUAGUUGGCGGGGUAAAGGCCCACCAAGGCGACGAUCCGUAGCUGGUCUGAGAGGAUGAACAGCCACACUUGAAAUGAGACACGGUCCAGACUCCUAAGGGAGGCAGCAGUGGGGAAUAUUGGACAAUGGGCGCAAGCCUGAUCCAGCCAUACCGCGUGGGUGAAGAAGGCCUUCGGGUUGUAAAGCCCUUUUGUUGGGAAAGAAAAGCAGCAGGUUAAUACCCCGCUGUUCUGACGGUACCCAAAGAAUAAGCACCGGCUAACUUCGUG